rnacentral:rRNA from 1 species
CAGCAGCCGCGGGAAUACGUAGGGUGCGAGCGUUAAUCGGAAUUACUGGGCGUAAAGCGUGCGCAGGCGGUUCGUUAAGACAGAUGUGAAAUCCCCGGGCUUAACCUGGGAACUGCAUUUGUGACUGACGGGCUAGAGUAUGGCAGAGGGGGGUAGAAUUCCACGUGUAGCAGUGAAAUGCGUAGAGAUGUGGAGGAAUACCAAUGGCGAAGGCAGCCCCCUGGGCCAAUACUGACGCUCAUGCACGAAAGCGUGGGGAGCAAACAGGAUUAGAUACCCCAGUAGUCCCUGUCUCUUAUAC